rfam:Gossypium arboreum cultivar AKA8401 contig_2611_1, whole genome shotgun sequence.
UGUUAAAAAUUUUAUCCAUUUUUAUUGAUAAAAAUUGAUAUGACUAAUAGAAUAAUCAAACAGUCACACAUAGCGUGUCAUGUGUAUCUCAUUCUAACGUAUAAGGAUUAGUUUUUAACAAUAGAAAUAGGUGAAUUUUUUAAUA